rnacentral:rRNA from 1 species
GGGAUAAUACUCCAUAAGUCAGGAGUACUGGAAUGUCUCCUAACUGAAAGUUGCGGCGCCAUAGGAUGAAUCUGCGGCCGAUUAGGUAGUUGUUGGGGUAACGGCCCAACAAGCCUGUAAUCGGUACGGGUUGUGGGAGCAAGAGCCCGGAGAUGGAAUCUGAGACACGAUUCCAGGCCCUACGGGGCGCAGCAGGCGCGAAAACUUUACAAUGCAGGAAACUGUGAUAAGGGAACCCCGAGUGCCCGUAAACGCGGGCUGUCCCGGUGUUUAAAACACAUCGGAAGAAAGGGCCGGGCAAGACCGGUGCCAGCCGCCGCGGUAAUACCGGCGGCUCGAGUGGUGACCACUUUUAUUGGGCUUAAAGCGUUCGUAGCUUGAUUUUUAAGUCUCUUGGGAAAUCUCACGGCUUAACUGUGAGGCGUCUAAGAGAUACUGGGAAUCUAGGGACCGGGAGAGGUAAGAGGUACUUCAGGGGUAGAAGUGAAAUUCUGUAAUCCUUGAGGGACCACCGAUGGCGAAGGCAUCUUACCAGAACGGCUUCGACAGUGAGGAACGAAAGCUGGGGGAGCGAACGGGAUUAGAUACCCCGGUAGUCCCAGCCGUAAACUAUGCGCGUUAGGUGUGCCUGUAACUACGAGUUACCGGGGUGCCGAAGUGAAAACGUGAAA